GAUGAACGCUGGCGGCGCGCCUAACACAUGCAAGUCGAACGAUUAAAGCACCUUCGGGUGUGUAUAAAGUGGCGAACGGCUGAGUAACACGUGGGCAACCUGCCCCUUUCAUUGGGAUAGCCACGGGAAACCGUGGAUAAUACCGAAUACUUCGAGACUUCCGCAUGGAAGACUCGAGAAAGCUCCGGCGGAGAGGGAUGGGCCCGCGGCCUGUUAGCUUGUUGGUGGGGUAACGGCCUACCAAGGCAAUGAUGGGUAGCUGGGUUGAGAGACCGACCAGCCAGAUUGGGACUGAGACACGGCCCAGACUCCUACGGGAGGCAGCAGUGGGGAAUCUUGCACAAUGGGCGAAAGCCUGAUGCAGCGACGCAGCGUGCGGGAUGAAGGCCUUCGGGUUGUAAACCGCUUUCAGCAGGGACGAGGCGAAAGUGGCGGUACCUGCAGAAGAAGCCCCGGCUAACUACGUG
rnacentral:rRNA from 1 species